UAGUACAUGAUGUUACAUAAUAGCCCUCACCUUAGAAAUGUGUAUAAGUUAUUUUUAUGAACACUAGCUGCUCAAAUGGACUCCAAAUCUGAAAUCAGGUCGAAAAAUCAAGUUAGAACACCCUUCCAACAGUUGAAAACGGGUAAGUGCUGCUAUGGUCAUAGUCAACAUAACAGUCAACCCGAUCAUCUCUGACCCAAGUCGGUCAACCACUAACUAUAUUGAAAUCGAUUUGACCAACCAGUUUUUCCUAACCAAAACUUAUUUCACUUGGAUCAAACUGAAUUUCUGUUACCAACAGGUUUAAUCCAACCCCAAAAAAAUUCGAAAACCAAACUGGUUUAACCAAAGCAAAACCAAAUCCAACUAAACUAACUGGUU
rnacentral:lncRNA from 1 species